GAUGAACGCUGGCGGCGUGCUUAACACAUGCAAGUCGAACGGAAAGGCCCAAGCUUGCUUGGGUACUCGAGUGGCGAACGGGUGAGUAACACGUGGGUGAUCUGCCCUGCACUUCGGGAUAAGCCUGGGAAACUGGGUCUAAUACCGGAUAGGACGAUGGUUUGGAUGCCAUUGUGGAAAGUUUUUUCGGUGUGGGAUGAGCUCGCGGCCUAUCAGCUUGUUGGUGGGGUAAUGGCCUACCAAGGCGUCGACGGGUAGCCGGCCUGAGAGGGUGUACGGCCACAUUGUGACUGAGAUACGGCCCAGACUCCUACGGGAGGCAGCAGUGGGGAAUAUUGCACAAUGGGCGCAAGCCUGAUGCAGCGACGCCGCGUGGGGGAUGACGGCCUUCGGGUUGUAAACUCCUUUCGCUAGGGACGAAGCGUUUUUGUGACGGUACCUGGAGAAGAAGCACCGGCUAACUACGUG
rnacentral:rRNA from 1 species